UCACUCUUGAAGCUGUGACAGUUUUAUUUAUGAACACUGAAAGAUCUAAUGUGGCUUUUAUUUUCUCUCGGUUUUUCUAUGAACCAUGUGGUUGUGGGAACUUCCAAGAUCUUAACUUUAGUAAAUUAAUUUAUGUUAAUCAAUUGCUUUUUAGUAUAUUUAAAUUGGUGAUAAAAUUGUGUUGUGAUUUUUUGGGUGGCUUUAAAUUAUUGUAAAUGCUAGCUAUCAUCUACUUCUCCAUAGGCAAGUUACUGCACUGUGUAUGAAAGAAGGAAUUUAUUAGAUGUUUUUGAAAAAACUAUAAAAGAAUAGAAUAUGCAUUGGAAAUAUGUUUAAAGGUAUAAAUUAUAACCUAUUAGCUGAACCAAAUUAUUUGGAUGGGGCUUGAUGUUUAUGGUUAUAAAUGAAACCUAUAUUAUUUUAAAAAAUGGAGGCUUUAACCUGUCUAAUGUUUUAUCAAAAAAUCCAUUACCUUUUAUUAAGGGAAUGUCAUGAAAGAACUAAUUCCGAUAGGUUACUUUGUUAACCUUGAACUCAGCACAUGUGAUUCAGAUGACUGAUUAAGAACCAAUUAUUGACUAAGGCUCAAAUCUUAUAAUCAAAGCACACGUUCCUCAGCUCAUGU
rnacentral:lncRNA from 1 species